GUUACAGGAAGAUGUGAGUACUUGGAGACACCCAUGAGAGGCAGCUCAACCCUGGAAGGGGACCUAGUGACAUGACCAUCCCAGGACCAUCUAGGGGACCCUGUGCUGUCUCUGCUGAGGAUGAUGUGUGCGGAGCAGCUUACGGGUCUUCCCGGGGGGAAUUCUCGGGAAACCCACAUAGCAGCCUUCAGCGCUGCUCCUCUGAUACUGACCCUGAAGCAGAGGGAGAGAAGGUGUCCCUAAGAUGACAGGAUGAAGAAGCUAAUUGCUGCUUAGCUAAGGACCGGAAGACCUGAUGGCCAGAGUGUUCCCUCUGUAAGAUCCAUUCUGAGACUCCGCAAGGGAACUCAUUGGUGAAUGGACUCCAGGCUUCCGAUGGAGGAGCCUUCAAGGUUUGCUCCAGUCUCAAAAUGCAGGGAUUGUUGAAGACUUCGGGUGAGAAAAGGGCCUGAAGGUGUACUUCUCGUGGCUCUAGAAGAACCCGGGAGCAUCCACAGAUUGACCAGUUGCCUCUUUUAGAGCCCAUCCUUCCCUGGAGAGUCCAGAAAGCCUCUCUGUAAACAGAUGAAGUAAAGAUGCUGCCGAGACCUGAAAUUGUGGGUAGGAUGUCUUCCCCAAACCCCCACCUGGCAGUCAUGGCAAUGUUGUCUACGAGUUCCUGUUGCACUUGAGAGAGCUGUGAUUAACAAGACAUCAGAACUACUGAAGUGACACCUUUGCUCUCCUGGGACAAUGGCCACUGCUCAGCAGUGACUAAGUUAACAUCACUGAGGAGACAUCAUCGGGUGUUUCCCAAGAGUCCGCACAUGAAGCUGGGGUCCAGAGGCAGCCAAGGUUACACCUUAUGCUGGCAGCUGAACUUGGUGGUGUAGGAGUCACCCAGGGGGUACUGACUUUGAAGGCCUGAAGAGGUCACAGAGAGCAGCUGAGGCUUUGCACUGUGGAAUGCCAGGAGUGAAGGAAUCAUGAAAAGUUGAGUCUUGGCAUCAUGAGGAGCGCCCAGGAGAGGCUGUUGGUGAAAGUGCGGCCCAGUUGCAGCAGAGACCCCAGGAUUUUGGAGACGCCAGCAGCAGCGGUUGAGCAGAGCCAGCUGGAACCUAAAGACAAGCUGUGUGCUGCAGAGGGCAGAGACAGAGAAGUGACCCAAGUCCUUUGGAGGAGCCCAGAAGAUCGUGAGUGGAUCCCAGCCACUGGACUGUUGGAAUUUGGUUUGAUUUUAUUCGCUUGUGAUUGUGCCCAGAGUUUUCCCUCUUGAAGUAAGAAAACAUUUUACCAGAGCCCAUAGUUGCGAGACUUUGGAUUUUAAAAAAGAUUUGGCUAUUUUAAAGGGUCUGAAUUUUUAAUAUGUAAUGUGUUUGAAUUUGUAAAGACCAUGGGACUUUUAAAGUUAUCUACAUUUUUUAAUGUGAGAUCUUGGGGAUGCAUAAGAAAGGAAGGGUUGUGGUUUAAUAGUGAUACAUUUGAGUGUCAAGUUGACACAAGUUAGAGUCACCAGAGAGGAAGGAGCCUCAGUUGAGGAAAUGUUUCCAUGAGAUCCAUCUAUAGAGCAUUUUCUCAGUUUUCAGUGGGGAAGGCCCAGGCCAUUGUGAGUGGUGCCAUCCCUGGGUUGGUAGUCCUGGCUGCUAUAAGAAAAUAGUCUGAGCAGGGCGGUGGUAGCGCACGCCUUUAAUCUCAGCAUUUGAGAGUCAGAGGCAAGAGAAUCUCUGUGAGUUUGAGGCCAGCCUGGUCUGCAGAGCAAAUGCCAGGACAGGCUCCAAAGCUACACAGAGAAAAAAAAAAAAAAACCUGUUUUGAAAGAUGAAAAAAAAAAAAAGUAGGCUGAGCAAGCCAUAGGAAGCAAGCCAGUAAGCAGCACCCUCCAUGGCCUCUGCAUCAGCUCCUGCCUCCAGGCUCCUGUCCUGCUGGAGUUCUUGCCUUGACUUCCUUUGCUAGUGAAUAGCAAUGUAGAGGUACAAGCUUUCCUACCCAACUAGCUUUUUGGUCACGAGGUUUCUUUGUAGCAAUAGAAACCAUAACUGUAGCAGUGUGUCUCACCCUCCUCUUAGAUGAAAGAGAAGAUGCUGAGCCCCAGAAAGUGACUUUGAAGAUUCAGAAGUCACUUUGGAGACUAGGAAAACACUGAUGAUGGAGAAGCUCAUAAAAAUCAGAAUAAGAAGUCUUCCAGGUGAAUGGAAGUUUGAGCCCUUAAACACUCCUUUCAGGAUGUCCCAAACAAUCUCACCCACACUAAGAUGAAGUGUGUAAGGUUUGCUGCAUGACUGAUUUCCCAUUUCUUUGAGAAUUUUGUAUAUGAGUGCUGUCUUUACAUCAUUCCCUCCGCUCCUCAAAUUCAUGCCCUCUUUUUCUUUAUUGUUACACACACACAUUUACGAUUGCCCUUAUGUACAUGUGUCUAGAGCCAUGGUUACAGAUGCACGCUGCCAUGCCCCCCCACUGUUACAUGAACUCUGUAGAUUCAGACCUGGGUCUCCGUACUUGCACAGUGGGCGCUUGACCAACUACAGCUCACACCUGCCACCUUCAUGGCCUCUCCACACACCACAGCCAAGCCUUUAAACAUCCUCCACGUCACUGGGACAAUCUCACCCAUUUCCCCUCCAAACCACUAGAUGCCACUCUGUACCCACCCAUGACAUUGCUGUUCCUGGUUUCUGGAAGGCUGGUCUGGAGAAGAUGCACAGGUUCUGCUCAGUCGCCUUUCCUAGAGGAAGACCUGGAGAAGGAGCCCGUUCUCUGCAGCUGUCGCAUCAGGACGGCACAGUCGCUCCACAGCCAGCACUCACGCUCAGGAUGGGCCAGGCUUUCUUCAAGGAUUAGCUCCUAUACCUCCCGCAAGCUCCAGUGAUCAACAUCCAACGCGCAAAACACUUAAGACUUGGUGGGUAAAGACGCCUGCCAUGCAAGUGUGAGGCCCUGGGUUCAAACCCACAGAACCCUGGUAGAAUCCAACUGCUGUAGUGUGUGUAAUCCUAGCACUCAGACUCCUUGUAAGUCUGAGGCAGCUAGCCUAGGAUACAAAGAGGCAAAAUGAGAGGCAUAGGGAUGUGGCUGUUCAUGGAGCUGCUCUUACAUGCUGGAAGCCAGGCAAAGCUUGGAGAAGAGAGAUUCUAAAGUACAUAAGGGGGACUCGCUCUAUUGGCCAUUGGCCAUGAGUCCACUCACCUGGGGAAGACCAAUGGUCAUCCUCACUUGCCCACACUCCAGUCCAUGUUAGCAUGUCUAUUGCCAGCCUUGCUGGCUCAUGGCUAGGCAGCCACACUGGUGGGACUUCUUUGGUUUUCAGCCAGUUGUGCUGGCACACACCUGUUGUCCCAACACUGGAGAGUCUGAGCGGGUGGAUCUGAAGUCUGAGGCCAGCCUGGCAGGGUCCUGUGGGUGAGGGUAAGUGGGGAAGAGUGGGUAGCUAGCUGGUCUUCAGAGCUACGGCUGUUUUGUCAACUACUU